UGUCUAUUUUUAUCUUACUCAGAUGUGCGUUAUGCUGUCUUGGGAGCCUCUCUAGGUGCAUUUUUUGGGAUCAGCUUUAUUGCUGUGAAACUCUGCUUGUUAAAAAAGCACAGUCCGGACUAUUGGUUUUCAGAUUCAGAAUCAUUUAAUCUGAAGGCGUUUAGACAAGGAGAUGUAGGGACACCAUGAUUUGUAGUAUAAAUAUUGAAGACUGACGACAAUGUGAAAUUUAUGGGGAUUCAUGGACAUCUUUUUGGUAUCAUCAUAUGGAGACAUGCAUGUAUAUAUAUACGGCUCUCUAUCACGCUUCCUGCCUACUGUAAACAUAGUAUGGAUAUUUUGGCUGGCUAACAAAACACUAUAUACAUGGACAAAGUUCUACUGGAAUCCACAUUUUAGGACAAAACAGGUAGACCUCUAUGGAGUCAAUGCUUGUAAUGAUUUAUUGUAAAACACAUUAUGUAAAUGUUAGAAAAAAAUGCAGCCAUAGAAACGUGCAGUUAUUGACAACUGCAGAUAUCUUAGAUGGAAAUGCAAAAACAUAAAACAAGGGAAGGGCCAAUUUUGUUUCUUUAAGAAAGCUUUGUUAUUAAACCACUUAAUUUCCCACAUGUUAAAAAACAGGUGUCAUUUACAGUUGUUACAUUUGUUAAUCAUAACUAAAUAUUGACCAUAACAAGCAUUUUUAAUUUCACACUGGCUGGUUUAGUUCCCUAAUAACUAUGCUGGCAUGUAUGUAUACAGCAGUAAAAAUAGCUAUUGUACUGACAAAUUAUGUUUAUGUGCAUUAUAAGUUUGUAAAAUGGACGUCCCCACACUGCUCAGUCUGUGUUAAUAAAAUGUUCAUGGUGUAA